ACGGCCUUCGGGUUGUAAACCCCUUUCAGUUGGGACGAAGCUUCGACGGUGAAUAGCCGUCUGGAGUGACGGUACCUUCACGAAGAAGCCCCGGCUAAACUACCGUGC
rnacentral:rRNA from 1 species